ACAUACCAUGCUGAAUAUACCGGUUCUCGUUAGAUCACCGAAGUCAAGCAUCAUUGGGCGCGGUCAGUAUUUGGGUGGGUGACCACCUGGGAACACCGCGUGCCGUU
rnacentral:rRNA from 1 species